rnacentral:rRNA from 1 species
UACGGAGGGUGCAAGCGUUGUCCGGAUUUAUUGGGUUUAAAGGGUGCGUAGGCGGCCCGUUAAGUCAGCGGUGAAAGCCCGGGGCUCAACCCCGGAACCGCCGUUGAUACUGGGAGGCUUGAGUAUGGACGAGGUUGGCGGAAUUGAGGGUGUAGCGGUGAAAUGCUUAGAUACCCUCAAGAACACCGAUUGCGUAGGCAGCUAACUAGGCCAUAACUGACGCUGAGGCACGAAAGCGUGGGGAGCGAACAGG